UACGUAGGGUGCGAGCGUUAAUCGGAAUACUGGGCGUAAAGCGUGCGCAGGCGGUUUUGUAAGCCAAGAUGUGAAAGCCCCCGGGCUUAACCUGGGAAUGGCAUUUGGGACUGCAAGGCUUGAGUGCGGCAGAGGAGACUGGAAUUCCUGGUGUAGCAGUGAAAUGCGUAGAUAUCAGGAGGAAUACCGAUGGCGAAGGCAGGUCUCUGGGACUGACACUGACGCUCAUGCACGAAAGCGUG
rnacentral:rRNA from 1 species